rnacentral:tRNA from 1 species
UAGAAAGAUAAGCUAAAUAUAAGCUAUUAGGCUCAUAACCUAAAUAUAGAAGAAAAAUACUUCUUCUUUCUA